rnacentral:rRNA from 1 species
AGAUUGAACGCUGGCGGCAGGCCUAACACAUGCAAGUCGAGCGGUAGAGAGGUGCUUGCACCUCUUGAGAGCGGCGGACGGGUGAGUAAUGCCUAGGAAUCUGCCUAGUGGUGGGGGAUAACGUUCGGAAACGGACGCUAAUACCGCAUACCGUCCUACGGGAGAAAGCGGGGGACCUUCGGGCCUCGCGCCAUUAGAUGAGCCUAGGUCGAUUAGCUAGUUGGUGAGGUAAUGGCUCACCAAGGCGACGAUCCGUAACUGGUCUGAGAGGAUGAUCAGUCACACUGGAACUGAGACGACGGUCCAGACUCCGUACGGGAGGCCAGCAGGUGGGAAUAUUGGACAAAGUGGGACGAAAGCCUGACUCCACGCCAAGUGCCGUCGUGUGUAGAAGGAAGGUCUUCGGAGUUACGUAAAGCUAAUUUAAGGUUGGAAGGUAAGGGUUAGUAAACUUUAAAGUACGUUGUACUAACUUUUGAACCGUUUAACCGAAC